rnacentral:rRNA from 1 species
GACGAACGCUGGCGGCGUGCCUAAUACAUGCAAGUAGAACGCACAGUUUAUACCGUAGCUUGCUACACCAUAAACUGUGAGUUGCGAACGGGUGAGUAACGCGUAGGUAACCUGCCUGGUAGCGGGGGAUAACUAUUGGAAACGAUAGCUAAUACCGCAUAAUAUUGAUUAUUGCAUGAUAAUUGAUUGAAAGCUGCUAUUGCAUCACUACCAGAUGGACCUGCGUUGUAUUAGCUAGUAGGUGAGGUAACGGCUCACCUAGGCGACGAUACAUAGCCGAACUGAGAGGGUGAUCGGCCACACUGGGACUGAGACACGGCACAGACGCCUACGGGAGGCAGCAGUAGGGAAUCUUCGGCAAUGGACGAAAGUCUGACCGAGAAAGGCCGCGGGAGUGAAGAAGGUUUUCGGAUCGUAAAGCUCUGUUGUAAGAGAAGAACGGGUGUGAGAGUGGAAAGUUCACACUGUGACGGUAUCUUACCAGAAAGGGACGGCUAACUACGUG